AACGUAGGUACCGAGCGUUAUCCGGAUUUACUGGGCGUAAAGCGCGUUCAGGCGGUUUGGCAAGUCGGGCAUGAAAUCUCUCGGCUCAACCGGGAGAGGUUGUCCGAUACUUCCAGACUUGAGGGCAGAAGAGGGUGGUGGAAUUCCGGGUGUAGUGGUGAAAUGCGUAGAUAUCCGGAGGAACACCAGUGGCGAAAGCGGCCACCUGGACUGCCCCUGACGCUGACACGCGAAAGCUAGGGGAGCGAACGGG
rnacentral:rRNA from 1 species